GAUGAACGCUAGCGGCAGGCUUAAUACAUGCAAGUCGAGGGGUAUAAAGUAGCUUGCUAUUUUAGAGACCGGCAAACGGGUGCGGAACACGUACACAAUCUAACCUUAUCUGGGGGAUAGCCCAUAGAAAUGUGGAUUAAUACCCCAUAGUAUUACGGAGUGGCAUCAUUUUGUAAUUAAAGAAUUUCGGAUAAGGAUGAGUGUGCGUCUGAUUAGGUAGUUGGCGGGUAACGGCCCACCAAGCCGACGAUCAGUAGCUGAUGUGAGAGCAUGAUCAGCCACACGGGCACUGAGACACGGGCCCGACUCUACGGGAGGCAGCAGUAAAGGAAUAUUGGUCAAUGGACGGAA
rnacentral:rRNA from 1 species